CCUACGGGUGGCAGCAGUGAGGAAUAUUGGUCAAUGGACGAGAGUCUGAACCAGCCAAGUAGCGUGAAGGAUGACUGCCCUAUGGGUUGUACACUUCUUUUAUAUGGGAAUAACAUGUUCCACGUGUGGGAUUUUGUAUGUACCAUAUGAAUAAGGAUCGGCUAACUCCGUGCCAGCAGCCGCGGUAAUACUGAGGAUCCGAGCGUUAUCCGGAUUUAUUGGGUUUAAAGGGAGCGUAGGUGGAUUGUUAAGUCAGUUGUGAAAGUUUGCGGCUCAACCGUAAAAUUGCAGUUGAAACUGGCAGUCGUGAGUACAGUAGAGGUGGGCGGAAUUCGUGGUGUAGCGGUGAAAUGCUUAGAUAUCACGAAGAACUCCGAGUGCGAAGGCAGCUCACUGGACUGCAACUGACACUGAGGCUCGAAAGUGUGGGUAUCAAACAGGAUUAGAUACCCCUGUAGUC
rnacentral:rRNA from 1 species